rnacentral:rRNA from 1 species
AUUGAACGCUGGCGGCAGGCCUAACACAUGCAAGUCGAACGAGUGGCGGACGGGUGAGUAAUGUCUGGGAAACUGCCCGAUGGAGGGGGAUAACUACUGGAAACGGUAGCUAAUACCGCGUACCAUCGGCUGUGCCCAGAUGGGAUUAGCUUGUAGGUGAGGUAACGGCUCACCUAGGCGACGAUCCCUAGCUGGUCUGAGAGGAUGAACAGCGACACUGGAACUGUGACACGGUCCAGACGCCUACGCGAGGCAGCAGUGGGGAAUAUUGCACAAUGGGCGCAGGCCUUAUCCAGCCAUGCCGGGUGUAUGAAGAAGGCCUUCGUGUUGUAAAUUACUUUCAGCGGGGAGGCGUUACCCUCAGAAGAAGCACCGGCUAACUCCGUGCCAGCAGCCGCUGUAAUUC